UACAGAGGUCCCAAGCGUUGUUCGGAUUCAUUGGGCGUAAAGGGUGCGUAGGCGGCGCGGUAAGUCGGGUGUGAAAUCUCGGGGCUUAACUCCGAAACUGCAUUCGAUACUGCCGUGCUUGAGGACUGGAGAGGAGACUGGAAUUUACGGUGUAGCGGUGAAAUGCGCAGAUAUCAGGAAGAACACCAAUGGCGAAGGCAGCUCUCUGGGACGGUACUGACGCUGAGACGCGAAAGCGUGGGGAGCGAACAGG
rnacentral:rRNA from 1 species